AUCUACGGAGAGUUUGAUCCUGGCUCAGGACGAACGCUGGCGGCGUGCUUAACACAUGCAAGUCGAACGCUGAACUCCGCUUGCGGGGGGAUGAGUGGCGAACGGGUGAGUAACACGUGGGCAACCUGCCCCCGGCUCUGGGAUAACUCCAAGAAAUUGGGGCUAAUACCGGAUGUUCACCGGCU
rnacentral:rRNA from 1 species